AACAAGGAUACUUACAACAGGGUGUUUACUCAGUGUGACUGAUGAGAUAACAGUUCUCUAGUUCACAUAUACUUAGUACUUAGUAUGGUGAGGUAAUGAUGCUACAGUUGGCUGUUGUGAUGCAAUUGUACUAAGGUAUUUAAGGGCUGAGAGGACUUGAAAUAAGCAGACUGGAGAGUGAAAGUGAGUGAGUGUGGGAGCUCGAGCUCAGACUCCAGACUCUUGGCUCCAGACUCCAGACUCUAGGUUCUAGACUCCAGACUCCAGACUCUAGGAUCCAGACUCCAGACUCAGGACUCUAUCCCUGACCAUCCUCAUGAGAUGACCCUCAAGAAAAAAUAUGAUGGAAGAGAUAUCAUCAGUCCACAAGUCAUGUGGUCAACAAAGGAGGUGGACCAACCACUCAAGGAAAAUAAGAACCAAGAAAUGGUAUGAUUCACUCCAACAGGUUGGGUGACUCAACCGAGCGUCCAAUGGAAGACAUAGCCCAGAAACAAAGAGGAUGAGAAGGCAUGAAUCAUUAUCACUGGAAGGAAUACCAGCAUCUGGGAGGCUGUGAAUCCAUUGACAAAUUGAAGCAGGGGUGCCAUAGAUAAGCACCCCCCCCAGAUAACAGAACUCAUGUGAUACAAAGUAAAGUAUGAUGAAUAAAUGACAUCAUCAUCAUAUUUUGAUAAUUA